GAGGGUGUGGCUCAAUGGUAGAGUGUGUGCUUGGGAUGCACGAGGUCCUGGGUUCAAUCCCCAGUACCUUCU
rnacentral:tRNA from 1 species